UGGUGGAGUGAUUUGUCUGGUUAAUUCCGUUAACGAACGAGACCUCGACCUGCUAAAUAGUUUUGCGAAUUCUUCGGGAUUUGAUUAUUAAACUUCUUAGAGGGACUAUCGGUGAUUUAGCCGACGGAAGUUCGAGGCAAUAACA
rnacentral:rRNA from 1 species